UUUUUUUGUUAAGUGUUGUCGAUCAAUCUUUUUCGUGUUGUGCUUUAUUCUUUAGUUUCAUUGAUUCUAAAAGAGUGAGCAUCCCUUGCCUCUUUUUCUAAUGCAAUGUUAUCCUUGCUUAUAAAAAGAAAUUAUAGUAAUUAAAAAAUAAAAUUUAUGUCUUACAAAAGGGAAUCCAAACAUGAACCUAGUAUGAAUAUUUGAGGGACAAAAGUGUCAAUUCAAGAUGGUAGGUGAGGG
rnacentral:lncRNA from 1 species